CCCCUAGAUGUUCUGGGCCGCACGCGCGUUACACUGAACAGUUCAACAAGUCUUAACCUUGGCCGAUAGGUCUGGGUAAUCUUUGAACGCUGUUCGUGAUUGGGAUAGACCUUUGCAAUUAUGGGUCUUCAACGAGGAAUUCCUAGUAAACGCAAGUCAUCAGCUUGCAUUGAUUACGUCCCUGCCCUUUGUACACACCGCCCGUCGCACCUACCGAUUGAAUGGUCCGGUGAAAUCUCGGGACGGCGGCUUGGUCGCUUGCGUCCGACUGCUGAAACUUGAUUAAACCAUAUCAUUUAGAGGAAGGUGAANUCGUANCA
rnacentral:rRNA from 1 species